rnacentral:rRNA from 1 species
GACGAACGCUGGCGGCGUGCUUAACACAUGCAAGUCGAACGGUGAACCUCUUCGGAGGGGAUCAGUGGCGAACGGGUGAGUAACACGUGGGCAACCUGCCCCCGGCUCUGGGAUAACUCCAAGAAAUUGGGGCUAAUACCGGAUGUUCACCGCUUCCCGCAUGGGUGGUGGUGGAAAGGGUUUCCGGCUGGGGAUGGGCCCGCGGCCUAUCAGCUUGUUGGUGGGGUAGUGGCCUACCAAGGCGACGACGGGUAGCCGGCCUGAGAGGGUGACCGGCCACCCUGGGACUGAGAAACGGCCCAGACUCCUACGGGAGGCAGCAGUGGGGAAUAUUGCGCAAUGGGCGGAAGCCUGACGCAGCGACGCCGCGUGGGGGAUGACGGCCUUCGGGUUGUAAACCUCUUUCAGCGGGGACGAAGCGCAAGUGACGGUACCUGCAGAAGAAGCACCGGCCAACUACGUG